rnacentral:tRNA from 1 species
CCUUUAGCUCAGUUGGUAGAGCAGGAGACUCUUAAUCUCUUGGUCCAGGGUUCGAAUCCCUGAG